rnacentral:tRNA from 3 species
GGAAGCGUGGCCGAGCGGUUGAAGGCACCGGUCUUGAAAACCGGCGACCCGAAAGGGUUCUAGAGUUCGAAUCUCUGCGCUUCCGCCA